rnacentral:misc_RNA from 1 species
CGGUGGUGCUCGUAAUGGAAGGGGUGGGCGUCCCACUACCGGUCCAGGAACAACGAGCUGCAUUCCUGUACUACAAAACCUCCUCAAGUAGCAUGAGCCGCGGCAUUCCCUGGGCGUGAGGGUCAGCAAUCCCUCUCCCUGCCCGUGUAUAUUCCCGCUAGAACUACUGUCAGCCGCUGCAGGCAGCUCUCGUGUCUGUGCGUGUGCGUGUGCGUGUGCCGCUGAAUGAUGCACUCAUCUGUGUUGGUCCAAACAGUUUGACUGGCGCAUGAGAAGAUACACAUGCAAAUCACCUUUCGGCUGACGUGCGUGGCACGGGCGCGUGUACGGGCUGCUGUCGGCUGUCCAGCCGCGCGUGCGUGGUGGCCCUGAUGGAGAAACAAUUCUUGUGCGCGAGCGAGGCUAUGAGCGCACAUUUUGAGCCAAGAAAACAAAACUCAACAGGUCUGAGACGCUGCCACUGCGUGGCGGCGCCGCCGCCGGGCCGCACGCUGCGACGUGCGUGAACGGAGUGCAUUGAGUCCUACCGCUCCCCACCAGUGAGCGGGUGGGAGCAUCAACUCUCCUAGAUGCGGCGCGACGGGGUGCCGCGCCGCUUGCCUUCUCACCGCUACCCCCUGCCACUUCGCCGCUGCGCGAGGCGCAUGCGCGUGAUGAAUACUAUUCACAUAGUUUCCUGUCAGUCCGAGCACUGCAUGAGGUCAUAGCAUUUCUCAACUCAGCUCACACUGACGCGGUGCGGGUGUUGUUGUGUGGUUGUGCGUGUGCCGCUGAAUGAUGCACUCAUCUGUGUUGGUCCAAACAGUUUGACUGGCGCAUGAGAAGAUACACAUGCAAAUCACCUUUCGGCUGACGUGCGUGGCACGGGCGCGUGUGCGGGCUGCCGUCGGCUGUCCAGCCGCGUGCGCGUUGGGGCGGAAAGGGCCCCCCCUGGGGCUGACUAUGCCGCCCGGUGGUGGGCCUGGGAGGCCGCGG